ACGGAGGGUGCGAGCGUUAAUCGGAAUCACUGGGCGUAAAGCGCACGUAGGCGGUGUCGUAAGUCGGAUGUGAAAGCCCUCGGCUCAACCGGGGAACUGCAUUCGAUACUGCGACGCUUGAGUGCCGUAGAGGGUGGCGGAAUGCGAGGUGUAGGGGUGAAAUGCGUAGAUAUCUGAAGGAACACCAGUGGCGAAGGCGGCCACCUAACCUGUAACUGACGCUGAGGUGCGAAAGCGUGGGGAUCAAACAG
rnacentral:rRNA from 1 species